CGGCUGCCCCCGGGCUACUUCUGUACUCCCCCUCAGGCCCUACCUGGGUCCCGACAUCGGCGGGGUCCAGGAGCAUGAGUUCGUCACGGCCGGGGCUGGGUGGCAGAUCCAGCAACUCCUCCGGGUAACUGGCCCAGGGAGCUCCGGCGGCUCCUCCGGGUAGCGGGUGUAGGGAGCUCCGGCGGCUUCUCCGGGUAGCAGGCGCGGGGGAGCUCCGGCCACUCCCCUAGGGGCAUGGGCUCAGG